CCUGUCCCUAGAGAAGUUGCAGGUGUGGCUGCUGUGUCACGUGCGCAUCAGCAGGUGGCAGAGAGGAGAGAGGCUGUGUCUAAGCUCAGUGCUCUGACCUGUAAACAUCCUAAUGAUUAGUAGCCUGACAUU